rnacentral:rRNA from 1 species
CAAUAGCGUAUAUUUAAGUUGUUGCAGUUAAAAAGCUCGUAGUUGGAUUUCGGUUAAGAGCGACCGGUCCGCCGUUUGGUGUGCACUGGUUGGUUUUAACUUCCUGUAGAGGACGUGCUCUGGGUUUAACGACCUGGACUCGGAGUCUACGUGGUUACUUUGAAAAAAUUAGAGUGUUCAAAGCGGGCUUACGCUUGAAUAUCUCAGCAUGGAAUAACACUAUAGGACUCCUGUCCUAUUUCGUUGGUCUCGGGACGGGAGUAAUGAUUAAGAGGAACAGUUGGGGGCAUUCGCAUUUCAUUGUCAGAGGUGAAAUUCUCGGAUUUAUGAAAGACGAACUUCUGCGAAAGCAUUUGCCAAGGAUGUUUNCAUUAA